UGGUUCUGGCAUCGAUGAAGAACGCAGCGAAAUGCGAUAAGUAAUGCGAAUUGCAGAAUCCGUGAGUCAUCGAAUCUUUGAACGCACAUUGCGCCCUCUGGUAUUCCGGAGGGCAUGCCUGUUCGAGCGUCAUUAUCACCCCUCAAGCCCGGCUUGUUGUUGGACGCAGGCGGCGGCACACCCGCCCCGCCCGUCUCAAAGGUAAUGACGGCGUCUGCGAGGGACACCUGUACACUGAGCUUUCGGGCACGUACGUGGUUAGAACUCCAGACCCGGUCGCCGUCCCCCCGUCUCGCGGGGAGACAAAAACUUUUCACAAGGUUGACCUCGGAUCAGGUAGGAAUACCCGCUGA
rnacentral:misc_RNA from 1 species